CCGAGUUUACAACUCCCAAACCCCUGUGAACAUACCUAUCGUUGCCUCGGCGGAUCCGCCCCGGCGCCCUCGGGCCCGGAUCAGGCGCCCGCCGGAGACCCCAAACUCUUGUAUUUCUUUAGUAUCUUCUGAGUAAACAAGCAAAUAAAUUA
rnacentral:misc_RNA from 1 species